rnacentral:rRNA from 1 species
UACGGGGGGAGCAAGCGUUGUUCGGAUUUACUGGGCGUAAAGGGCGCGUAGGCGGCCAGCACAAGUCAGUUGUGAAAUCUCCGGGCUUAACUCGGAAAGGUCAACUGAUACUGUGCGACUAGAGUGCGGAAGGGCAACUGGAAUUCUCGGUGUAGCGGUGAAAUGCGUAGAUAUCGAGAGGAACACCUGCGGCGAAGGCGGGUAGCUGGGCCGAUACUGACGCUGAGACGCGAAAGCGUGGGGAGCGAACAGG